GGUCUCCCGGACAUGCAGGUUGUUUAGCAAAUAAAACUACAAUUGAUUAUCCGUAGUAGCAUUUCAUGACGAAAGCUUUCUAACACUGCACCCUCCCUGAAAAAGGGAUUCGGACCCCGAAUACAGAGCGAACAGAUAUACAAGUAGCAGGUACACAUUUGGGAGUCCCAGUCGGGCAUAUUUACUUGAACAAUACAAGGGUGCCAAAACCUCACAAAGACUGGUUAAAAGAGAAUUUAGACCGGGUGGUUCUCACACGUCUGUCCAGGGAUCCUCAACAUAAAUGGCGGAUGCAGUUGGUGUAAAGGACCAAAGCAAGAAACCAAUGGUAAUG